rnacentral:tRNA from 1 species
UCCCGUGUGGCUCAGUUGGUAGAGCAUGGUGUUUGCAACGCCAGGGUUGUGGGUUAGAUUCCCACGGGGGAA